GGCUGUUUCGCGUCCCCGAGCUCUGAUUCAGCAUGUUUCGUUUCCUUGGUGACUCGCGUUUUGCCAGUGUCGAUGCCUUGCGUGAUCUGCUUUGAGAGUCGGCACGUUCCGAGGAAGUGAGCGAACUUCGGACUUCUGGUGUACAUGUACGGUGCGUUUUGUACGGCGAAUGCGAUCGCCCCGUAGUUUACAGUUGCUUAGGCGAACCUGUGCUCAAAAAGAAUGCAAACGGAAGCACCCUGUGGCUUUCAGCACCGUAUACGGCAUGAAACCGUGGCCGCCGCUGCUGGAUUUUGAAAAUGCCAGCACACUCUUCGCGCUCAAAGUGGAUUGACUCUUGGAACUCCACAGGAUUUUCUCCCGGCCAGCGACCUGAUCAAUUCUCGGUGUACAAUGGCAUACACAGCAAUAUACCUGCAGGAGGAGGUCUCAAAGUCAACGACUGAAGAUCGUCGUUUUGUGUUGUCGCACCUUGCGACAAAGAAUAAUCUGCAGCAGGUGUGGCGGCGCUUCCACUGUCAUCACUUUGGCUGCCGUUCUGUUCGUCUGCUCUUGACGCUCUGCACAACUGCGCGCCCCUGCCGUCUGCUGUGCGCUUCAAGAUGUCUCUAUAUCGGCCAGUGUCUCAGCAUUGUAGGGAAAACCGAAGAAAGGACACAUGGCAUUCUGUGCGGCUCUACAGCGGGCCAACACGGGGAGGGACAGCAUUGCCCAUUUCUUGUACUUCCAGAAAGGGCGAUGUGAGAGCGUUCUGUGUCGGAGAAGACCGCGACACACUGGCUAAUCGGGCACCACUCCCCAAGAUCCUCACCUUCAGGGGAUACCAGAAGAACUACGUAUCGGCCGUUGCCUUACGUAACGACUGCGUUUGCCAGCACGUGGCCUCUGGUGCUCAUUCCGAACGGUGGUAGGUGGCGCUACGGAUGCACUGAACGCAACUAUUGAACAAGGAUUUACGUGACGACACGGUUUCAAAGGAAAGUGCUGCAGGCCCAGUCAUUUUAUCCCUUUCUGGUCCAAAUUUUUUCGACAAAGAGAAAUAGUUACGUUAAUGUACGUCUGAACACCAGAUAUCAAGGUAAAAUAAACGAAAUUCCGGCUUCA